AGAAGUGAGUCUAAAAUCUCUGAUGACAUUAAAGCGCCCAUAGUAUGCUCAUUUUCAGGUUGAUAAUUAUAUAUUGAGGUUGUAUCAGAAUAGGUUUACUUGGUUUCAUUUU